rnacentral:rRNA from 1 species
UACGGAGGGGGCAAGCGUUGUUCGGAUUUACUGGGCGUAAAGGGCGCCUAGGUGGCUCUAUAAGUUGGAUGUGAAAUCCCUCGGCUCAACUGAGGAAUAGCAUUCAAAACUGCAGAGCUAGAGUGUGAGAGAGGAAAGCGGAAUUCCUAGUGUAGCGGUGAAAUGCGUAGAUAUUAGGAGGAACACCGGUGGCGAAAGCGGCUUUCUGGCUCAACACUGACACUCAAGCGCGAAGGCUAGGGGAGCAAACGGG